AUGCGCGCGACCUCAGAGCGCGAGAGGCCGAGGCCGGUGAGCCCGUCGACGACGGGGGCCAGGGUUCCCUCCACUUUGGCGCGGAGUAACAGCGGGUCCUUGGCGACGGCGGUGGCGACGUCGGCGGCGGAGAGGCCGAGGCCGGCGAGGAAGGCGAGGACGGCGUCGGGCUUGGCGGGGGACUUGAGGUGGGAGAGCUUGGGGGAGGCCUUGAGGGCCUGGGCUCGGGUCAAGCCGCAGGCGGAGACGAGGUAG
rnacentral:rRNA from 1 species